GACGAACGCUGGCGGCGUGCCUAAUACAUGCCAGUUGGGCGCUGAAGGUUGGUACUUGUACCAACUGGAUGAGCAGCGAACGGGUGAGUAACGCGUGGGGAAUCUGCCUUUGAGCGGGGGACAACAUUUGGAAACGAAUGCUAAUACCGCAUAAAAACUUUAAACACAAGUUUUAAGUUUGAAAGAUGCAAUUGCAUCACUCAAAGAUGAUCCCGCGUUGUAUUAGCUAGUUGGUGAGGUAAAGGCUCACCAAGGCGAUGAUACAUAGCCGACCUGAGAGGGUGAUCGGCCACAUUGGGACUGAGACACGGCCCAAACUCCUACGGGAGGCAGCAGUAGGGAAUCGUCGGCAAUGGACGAAAGUCUGACCGAGCAACGCCGCGUGAGUGAAGAAGGUUUUCGGAUCGUAAAACUCUGUUGGUAGAGAAGAACGUUGGUGAGAGUGGAAAGCUCAUCAAGUGACGGUAACUACCCAGAAAGGGACGGCUAACUACGUG
rnacentral:rRNA from 1 species